CUGAGUCUGAUGAACUUUUUCAGAGGAUUAUGAAUUUUGAACCAUACCAUGUCAGAAGCAUGGAGGAGAGGGAACAUUAUCAGUGGCAGCAACAAUGCUCUUCACCAAUAGAAACGUGGGAGUAUGAUCAACAACUUUGUCAACAAACAGCUGAUGACGGAAAAGUCAAAAGCUUGAAUGAAACGUUUGACAAAUUUCUAGAGAGGUGUGAUGCCAAGAGAUAUAAAGUUACCUUCAGGAAUUUGGAGACAUAAAUUGAUGAGGUUGUUGAUGAGGAGAAGGUGGAGAGAGAAGUGGAAAAGAUAGAAGAUGAGAAAAUAGAGGAAGAUGAAGUAGAAAAGUUGAGUGAGGGAGAUAAAAAUUAUGAUAAGGAAAAAGAAGUGGUUGAAAGAAAAGAAAAGAAAAUAAGAGGAAAGAAAAAGAGAAAGUUGAGGGAGAAAAAUAUAAAGAAAAAGAGGAAGAAGGGAAAGAAGAAAAGAUCACAUGAAAAACCCUGUUAACGGAUUGGCAAGCAUACCAAAUCGUAUCAAGUAAUAAUAAAUGGUAAGUCCAAGUAUCGUUUUCCCAAGAGACUCGAAAGGCCUUAUCGUUCGUG
rnacentral:lncRNA from 1 species